rnacentral:rRNA from 1 species
UGCAGUCGUACGAGAGUUUUUAACUCAAGUGGCGGACGGGUGAGUAACACGUAAGAAUUUGCCUUUAGGAGGGGGAUAACAACUGGAAACGGUUGCUAAUACCCCAUAUGCUUUCGAGUGAAAUGGUUUUUCCGCCUAAAGAGAAGCUUGCGGCUGAUUAGCUUGUUGGUGAGGUAAUAGCUCACCAAGGCGACGAUCAGUAUCUGGUUUGAGAGGACGAUCAGACACACUGGAACUGAGACACGGUCCAGACUCCUACGGGAGGCAGCAGUAGGGAAUUUUCCGCAAUGGGCGAAAGCCUGACGGAGCAAUACCGCGUGAGGGAUGACGGCCUAUGGGUUGUAAACCUCUUUUUUCAGGGAGGAAUAAAUGACGUGUACCUGAAGAAUAAGCAUCGGCUAACUCCGUGCCAGCAGCCGCGGUAAGACGGAGGAUGCAAGUGUUAUCCGGAAUCACUGGGCGUAAAGCGUCUGUAGGUGGUUAAAUAAGUCAACUGUUAAAUCUUGAGGCUCAACCUCAAAACCGCAGUCGAAACUAUUAGACUAGAGUAUAGUAGGGGUAAAGGGAAUUUCCAGUGGAGCGGUGAAAUGCGUAGAGAUUGGAAGGAACACCGAUGGCAAAAGGCACUUUACUGGGCUAUUACUAACACUCAGAGACGAAAGCUAGGGUAGCAGGAUUAGAUACCCCAGUAGUCCUAGCUGUAAACAAUGGAUACUAGAUGUUGAACAGAUCGACCUGUGCAGUAUCAAAGCUAACGCGUUAAGUAUCCCGCCUGGGAAGUAUGCUCGCAAGGAUGAAACUUCAA